CUAGGUCAUAAGCACUUGAUUAGGAAUAUUACAACAAAUUUGGUAAAAUUAUAAAAAAUUUUGGCGGUCGACACCUCUCAGUCUUCAUGGCCAGUUUCUGGUAUUUCCUUGCUGCAGUGGUAGGUGUGACCAUUUUGGCUGUUGGAGAAGGAUUACAAUGUCUGCAGUGUACUGGAGUGUCAUUCCCACAAAACUGUACACUGUGGUUAACUGUUCAGAUCAUUAU